rnacentral:rRNA from 1 species
GUGAGGAAUAUUGGUCAAUGGGCGAGAGCCUGAACCAGCCAAGUCGCGUGAAGGAUGAAGGUUUUAUGAAUUGUAAACUUCUUUUGCAGGGGAAUAAAGUACGGUACGUGUACCGUUUUGUAUGUACUCUGCGAAUAAGGAUCGGCUAACUCCGUGCCAGCAGCCGCGGUAAUACGGAGGAUCCAAGCGUUAUCCGGAUUUAUUGGGUUUAAAGGGUGCGCAGGCGGGUUGAUAAGUCAGCGGUGAAAGUUUGCAGCUUAACUGUAAAAUUGCCGUUGAAACUGUCGGACUUGAGUGUAAAUGAGGUAGGCGGAAUGCGUGGUGUAGCGGUGAAAUGCAUAGAUAUCACGCAGAACUCCGAUUGCGAAGGCAGCUUACUAAGCUACAACUGACACUGAAGCACGAAAGCGUGGGGAUCAAACAGGAUUAGAAACCCGGGUAGUCC